rnacentral:rRNA from 1 species
AUUGAACGCUGGCGGCAUGCUUUACACAUGCAAGUCGAACGGUAACAGGCCGCAAGGUGCUGACGAGUGGCGAACGGGUGCGUAAUGCAUCGGAACGUGCCCAGUCGUGGGGGAUAACUACUCGUAAGAGUAGCUAAUACCGCAUACGAUCUAUGGAUGAAAGCGGGGGACCGUAAGGCCUCGCGCGAUUGGAGCGGCCGAUGUCAGAUUAGGUAGUUGGUGGGGUAAAGGCUCACCAAGCCAACGAUCUGUAGCUGGUCUGAGAGGACGACCAGCCACACUGGGACUGAGACACGGCCCAGACUCCUACGGGAGGCAGCAGUGGGGAAUGUUGGACAAUGGGCGCAAGCCUGAUCCAGCAAUGCCGCGUGCAGGAAGAAGGCCUUCGGGUUGUAAACUGCUUUUGUACGGAACGAAACGGCUCUGGUUAAUACCCGGGGCUAAUGACGGUACCGUAAGAAUAAGCACCGGCUAACUACGUG